rnacentral:rRNA from 1 species
UYGACUGUUUACCAAAAACAUAGCCAAUAGAAAAAAUUAUUAAUGGUGAUGCCUGCUCAAUGAUUGAACAAUAACCACUAAAAACAAUUAAAUAGCUGCGGUAACACCUGACCGUACAAAGGUAGCAUAAUAAAUCGCCUACUAAUUAUAGGAUAGAAUGAAGGUAAAACGAAGAUCUUACUGUCUCAAGACCAUAAAUUUAAAAUAGAAUGUGUGUGUAAAUCCACACAAAGACGGCAAGACGAUAAGACCCUAAGAACUUUACCUAAAGUUUAAAUCAAUAUAUCUCCUAAACUCUAAGUUUCGUUGGGGCAACGGUCUUUAAAAAAGUAACUAAGAUUAACUAAUCAAUAAAACAAAAAAAUAUGAAAAUAAAACAAAGAUAAGACCCAUUAAAAAAAAAAUCUUAAUGAUAAUAUAAUAAAAGUUCCUUAGGGAUAACAGCGUUAUAUCGUUUCAAGAGAACCAUCCAAACGAUGUUUGCGACCUCGAU